rnacentral:rRNA from 1 species
AUGUGUGCCUUGCAGGCCAAAGGGCAGGGAUUCCUUUACAUUCCUGAUUCUUGCACUGCUAAACAACUCAAGGAGAGAUCUACUAGCAUCGUGAUUACUGUCAUAGAGGGGACUGCUAGUGUUAAGGAACUUGAGGAAGCGUUUUCUGACUACAUAGGGACCAAAUGGCACUGCACUGCCCGUAUCAUUGGCCUUGACACCUAUGUGAUGAGAUUUCCUAAUCAAAGGGAUGUGAAAAAGGCAUGUUAUAACGAUAGGAUGAUCCUUAGAUCCUGUGGUGUGGUAGUUAAGAUCGUUCCUUGGUCGGCCAACAUUGGGGCUAAAGGGACUAUGGAGAUGGCAUGGGUGAAAGUUGCUAAUAUCCCUCUGGAAAGAAGAAAUGAGAGAAAUGUUGCUUAUGUUUCUUCCCUGGUGGGCGUCCCGCUCGAGAUCGACAUGGCCACCCUACACAAACCUGAAUUUGUCAGGGUCCGGCUGGGAUGUCGCAAUGUGGACGAGCUCCCUGGGGUUGCUGAGGCAGUGUUGGGCACACACUUCUUUGAUUUCUUCUAUGAAAUCGAGAAGGUGUUGGUUCGUGACCCUGAAAGAGAAAAAAGGGAUGUGCAGACAGAGGCAGAUGUUAACAAAUCCCCUUUUGUGAGAACUUCCACAUGGGGAAAGCAUGAUCCUAAGUCUGGACACAAAGGGAAUGAUGCUGGAUGCAGUAAGAAUGGUGAUGAUGGGAUUGGUGAUCCUGUCGAGGAAAAGGAGGAAGAAAGUGCGGAGUCUGAGGAGUCAGAAGAUAACACAUUGCUUAUUGAAACCAUGGCCGUGGAGGCUUACAACAAAGAAAAUGCGCGGGCCUCUCAGGCAAUGCUAGGUGUUGUUGACACCAAGCAUAAUGCUGAUGAGAUUCAGGUGGUGGAAAUGGAAGGAGAGGACCUUUCCAAGCUGGAGAAGUCAGAAUACCUGGUACAAUACCCUGCCUCCCCCUCUGAGGAUUUGGGAGAGGUGAUUUACCCCUCCCCUUUUAUCUGA